rnacentral:rRNA from 1 species
AUUGAACGCUGGCGGCAUGCUUUACACAUGCAAGUCGAACGGCAGCGCGGGCUUCGGCCUGGCGGCGAGUGGCGAACGGGUGAGUAAUGCAUCGGAACGUGCCCAGUAGUGGGGGUUAGCCGGGCGAAGGCGGAUUAAAUCCCCAUACCACCCUGAGGGUGAAACCGGGGGACGGAAAGCCUUCCUGCUUUGGUGGCGGCGAUGUCGGGUUAGCUUGUUGGUGGGGUAAAGGCUUACCAAGGCGACGAUCCGUAGCUGGUCUGAGAGGACGACCAGCCACACUGGGACUGAGACACGGCCCAGACUCCUACGGGAGGCAGCAGUGGGGAAUUUUGGACAAAGGGGGCAACCCUGAUCCAGCCAUGCCGCGUGCGGGAAGAAGGCCUUCGGGUUGUAAACCGCUUUUGUUCGGGAAGAAAUCCUCUGGGCUAAUACCCCGGGGGGAUGACGGUACCGGAAGAAUAAGCACCGGCUAACUACGUG